AGUUUGAUCAUGGCUCAGAACGAACGCUGGCGGCAUGCCUAACACAUGCAAGUCGACGAAGCCUUCGGGCUUAGUGGCGCACGGGUGCGUAACACGUGGGAAUCUGCCCUUCGGUUCGGAAUAACAGUUAGAAAUGACUGCUAAUACCGGAUGAUGACGUAAGUCCAAAGAUUUAUCGCCGAAGGAUGAGCCCGCGUAGGAUUAGGUAGUUGGUAGGGUAAUGGCCUACCAAGCCGACGAUCCUUAGCUGGUCUGAGAGGAUGAUCAGCCACACUGGGACUGAGACACGGCCCAGACUCCUACGGGAGGCAGCAGUGGGGAAUAUUGGACAAUGGGCGAAAGCCUGAUCCAGCAAUGCCGCGUGAGUGAUGAAGGCCUUAGGGUUGUAAAGCUCUUUUACCAGGGAUGAUAAUGACAGUACCUGGAGAAUAAGCUCCGGCUAACUCCGUG
rnacentral:rRNA from 1 species